CAGCUGCAUAACUAUCAUUGUGAAGCAGAAUUCACAAAGCGUUGGAUUGUUCACCCACUAAUAGGGAACGUGAGCUGGGAUUAGAAUGUCGUGAGACAGGUU
rnacentral:ncRNA from 1 species